UACGGAGGGUGCAAACGUUGCUCGGAAUCAUUGGGCGUAAAGCGCACGUAGGCGGUUCAGUAUGUCGGGUGUGAAAGCCCUCGGCUUAACCGAGGAAGUGCAUUCGAAACUGCUGGACUUGAAUACUGGAGAGGAUCGCGGAAUUCCCGGUGUAGAGGUGAAAUUCGUAGAUAUCGGGAGGAACACCUGUGGCGAAAGCGGCGCACUGGACCACAACUGACGCUGAGGCGCGAAAGCUAGGGGAGCAAACAGG
rnacentral:rRNA from 1 species